CCUACGGGAGGCAGCAGUGGGGAAUAUUGGGCAAUGGGCGAAAGCCUGACCCAGCAACGCCGCGUGAAGGAAGAAGGCUUUCGGGUUGUAAACUUCUUUUGACAGGGAAGAGCAGAAGACGGUACCUGUCGAAUAAGCCACGGCUAACUACGUGCCAGCAGCCGCGUUAAUACGUAGGUGGCAAGCGUUGUCCGGAUUUACUGGGUGUAAAGGGCGUGUAGCCGGGCUGACAAGGCAGAUGUGAAAUCCGGGGGCUCAACCCCCGAACUGCAUUUGAAACUGUUGGUCUUGAGUAUCGGAGAGGCAGGCGGAAUUCCUGGUGUAGCGGUGAAAUGCGUAGAUAUUAGGAGGAACACCAGUGGCGAAGGCAGCCUGCUGGACGACCACUGACGGUGAGGCGCGAAAGCGUGGGGAGCAAACAGGAUUAGAUACCCUUGUAGUC
rnacentral:rRNA from 1 species